rnacentral:rRNA from 1 species
AACGUAGGACGCAAGCGUUAUCCGGAGUUACUGGGCGUAAAGCGCGGGCAGGCGGUCUUGCCAGUCUGAUGUGAAAUCUCCUCGCUCAACGGGGAGCAGCCAUUGGAAACUACAAGACUGGAGUCUGACAGAGGUAGGCGGAAUUCCGGGUGGAGUGGUGAAAUGCGUAGAGAUCCGGAGGAACACCAGAGGCGAAGGCGGCCUACUGGGCUGCACCUGACGCUGAGCCACGAAAGCCAGGGGAGCGAACGGG